UGGCGGUCUUUUUCGGCGCAAGUUUUAAAUUCAUCUUGAGUGUCUUUACAUCGCAAGAUUAACGUUAUUCUGAAUCUUAAUUAGAAGAUAUGAAACGAAAGCAGACUCAAAGUACACAAAGUUUGAGUGUUUUCGGAUGCCUGCCCCUAAAGCUACAGCAGCUUCGGGUGACACUUCAGCUGCAGCAGAUGACACGAUCGUUACAGAUACUCCAGAAAGUGAGGCUGAUGCUAUCGUAAAGUUACCUGAUGUACCUGUAGAUAGACAACUUCUGACUGAGGAACUCCAAGUAGUGGUCGCUGCAGCCCGGAGAACGGCAGGUGGGAGGAGUUAACAAAACAAACUGCAAGUGGGAGGAGCUUAGGCCGCAUGUAAUAAGGAUUUUCACACGCUGAUGGCAGGAGCAACCACAAUUUCUCUAAACCACUGCGAUCACUGCAGUUGCAUCACUGCUGUUCUGACAUUUUGUGCUACAAUCAUAUUGUGCUGCCCAUUCGUGUGAGUUAGGUUUAGGGUUCGGGGAAGGGGUUAGUCUUGUAUUUUUAUAAAAAAACAAAAUCACAAAAUAUUUCAAGCCACAAACUAUUGCCACUUGUAAAAUAAUACCAUUUAUGUGUAUCUCCUUGUCUCAUCCCUGGAUUCACGGGGACUCCUGAGGCCACAGACCAGCUCCAACCCAGCCUGAUGUAUUAAAUGUUCUUCCAUGCACCGUAGAGAGGAGUGGAUCCCGCUGGCUGGCUCCUUUUCAGACUGGUGCACAUCCCUGCACUGACAAGGACUGAUGAUGCCAAACGACCCUGCCUCAUGUUUGUUUUUGUCUCUGCUAUAUACUUGUUUGACCUGUUAACUAAAUUUGUGUGAAGCUGCUUUGUAAUAAUGCACUGGUUGAAUUGAAAUUAAAACUAUAACAAUGACUGAAACAAUAAAGCACACAA